GAUGAACGCUGGCGGCGUGCCUAAUACAUGCAAGUCGAGCGAAGCGGGGACGGGUGAGUAACACGUGGAUAACCUCCUAUAAGACUGGGAUAACUUCGGGAAACCGGAGCCAACCCCGAUACUUAUCGAUGGUGACUCGCUGCAUUAGCUGGUUGGUGAGGUAACGGCUUACCAAGGCGACGAUGCAUAGCCGAACUGAGAGGGCGAGCGGCCACACUGGAACGGAGACACGGGCCAGACUCCUACGGGAGGCAGCAGUAGGGAAUCUUGCGCAAUGGGCGAAAGCCUGACGGAGCAACGCCGCGUGAGUGAUGAAGGUCUUCGGGUCGUAAAGCUCUGUUAUUAGGGAAGCGGUACCUAAUCAGAAAGCCACGGCUAACUACGUGCCAGCAGCCGCGGUAAUUC
rnacentral:rRNA from 1 species